UACGUAGGGACCAAGCGUUGUUCGGAUUUACUGGGCGUAAAGGGCGCGUAGGCGGUGCGGUAAGUCACUUGUGAAAUCUCUGAGCUUAACUCAGAACGGCCAAGUGAUACUGCAGUGCUAGAGUGCGGAAGGGGCAAUCGGAAUUCUUGGUGUAGCGGUGAAAUGCGUAGAUAUCAAGAGGAACACCUGAGGUGAAGACGGGUUGCUGGGCCGACACUGACGCUGGAGCGCGAAAGCGUGGGGAGCAAACAGG
rnacentral:rRNA from 1 species